rnacentral:lncRNA from 1 species
UGUCACUUACUCUGGCAAUGGUACUCCCUUUCAAAGUACUUUUUCAAACUAUUGAGUCUGGCUACUUCAGAUAUGAAAAGAAUAGUGCUACCUUCAAUGGUCAUUGCAAACCAUUUAGGUUCCCGAGCUUGAGAAGCUUCAAAGAUGGGAAUUAACCAAUCUCAUGUUUUACUCAUUUCAGCAGUAUAUGCUGCUCACUCAACUCUCAGCUAUAGACCACACAUGGGCAUAAAAAAAUCAACAUUGCAAGCAGAGUAUGACACUUCUAACAAACUGAUUGCGAAGUAAUAAACAAUAAAGGGAUCAAAAGCAUAAACCUAACUAGAAAGAAUGGUUGUGACCAGUAACAAAAACUGAGGGCUAAGGUCGGUGAUGCAAUUGAGAUAACCCUUUUCAUAUUCAUCCACCAUCCAUAACUGGACAACAUUUGUCUCUGGAACAUUGAAGGGCUCAAACAGCAUAAUUGCAUUGUCAUGGUAGCUCAAGCACUCACAAAUAGCAUGGAAAACAAUUCUCUUUUGCUUGUGUACCCAACUGUACAAUUAAAAAUGAAAGAAAAGGCAGAAGUAGAGGAAAUAUUAAUCUAUCAGUGUCUGUCUCCAGCCUAUUAAUCAUGAUGAAUAUUACCAGAAUAAUGUAAUAUUUGUAACUGACGGGUUCUAAAACAAUAAACAUGAACCGAAAAAUGUAGGAAGAGAGGUUCGCAGUGAAAACCUGGAAUUGUGGAAGACUCACUCAAAUUAAAAGAGACCAGUGAGUCCUUCAUGCACCAGCCAUCCAUUACUUGUCAAUAGAAAUUUGUCCUUUUCCUUUUGGCAUCUUCUCCUUAUGUAUUAAGGGAUUUUGAGGCUAUGUAGAGUGCCAAUGGAUUGUUACCUUCCAGUGGUGUCAAGCCACCAAUCCAUAUGGUUACGAGGCUUCCCUUUGAAUUGUGUGCCACUGUCAUCAUCCUCAUUCUCAAACAGAUGUUCUUCUUAGCGGCUGUGACAUGCUGAAUAUGUUGAAACAGAGACAUUGUUCUCUGCACAGACAGUUUAAAGUCUUGGAGAGAAGGGAGGUGUCACAGUCCCACCUCAAGCAGAGAUAUUUGGAGACUUCCAUGAAGACAAGGCCAAUGUGAACUCCAAUCAGCUUUAGUUCCUCACUAUUUUGAAGAUGCAAAAUUUUCAAAAACUUAGUGAUCUAUGCAUUUAUUCGAACAUAUAGACAGUAACAUUAUAAAAAUUGAAGCUGUUAAAAGCAGGACAGAAUAUUGGAUUGCAAACCUGAAAUUUGUUGUAGAUGACAUGCUUCAAUUGAAGAACAGAAAUCCUAUUAAAUCAGGUACCAUAGCUAGUCAAUAUCAAUUUCAGGAAAGUUGAAGUGUUGAGUGACACAUUCCUUCCGGCAGUGAUUUCAAUUCCAGGCCAACAACAUUUUCAAGCUCAUUAAGAGAUGUCAGGCUGUCUUCUAGUCCGGUAAAGUUACAAAACAAGAGAAAUUGAUGAUUUUAAGGAUUUCCAGAAUGUUACCAUUUCCAAGCUCCAAUAGCGGAAGCAUCAACUCAUUAUUCGACAAAAAAAGCUCUUUGCAACAUUUAUUCCACCUCUCAAAGGUGAUUAAAUGUUGCAUCCACUGAUAGAGAUGUCCAAGCCCCACCAUUAUCCCUUUUUACAUUGAAUUUACACCAAUUACAUCUGCAAGAAAAUAGUUAACCUGAGAAACUUCCAAACACAAAUUGCAAGAUCAUUUUAGCAAAACAGAACUAGGAAUUGAUAUCUUUAAAGAUACAUUUUCAAACUUUACUAACUACAAGCAUGCUUUCAGGCCACAAAGGUUCAACUAAAUUAUAAUAUUAAUGGAACAUUGCAUUUUCUCUAUGCUAACUCUAUCAAUGGUUGACAUAAUAAUCAAGUGUUUUUGUCUAUGCUAAUACAUACACAGCAUAGAGAAGACAAGGAGUGUAGAAAAUCAAUGAUGAUGUAGUCAUCAAUAGUGGGAGAAGGAUUACCUGAAUUGAAAAGAAAGCAAAAUUCAUUUCUGCAUGAAUCAUCUAAGAGUAUAAAUUUUUGGGCCAUGUGAAAUUUUAGGCAAAUUCAAGACUGAUCCCCCUUUGGGCUUUAGGCCAAUGAAUAAUCUCGAGUUUCGAAUUUGCAAGAAAUAGUAACUAAAUCAACCCUAGUGUUUUCCAAAAAUCUUAGGAUGUAAAAAUUAAAGUAACAUGAUUACCUUGGUCCUCAAUUACCAAUUAAGAACUUGUCUAAUUGUACAUUGAUUGGAAGAUGCAACAUUUUCAUACUCAGUGAUCUAAGCAUUUUUCCAAAUAGACUGGGGAAAAAAAAUGAUAAAAAUUGAAGCUAUUAAAAACAGGAAGAAACAUUGGAUUGCAAACCUGAAAUACAUUAUAGAGGACAUGCUUGAAUUAUAGAACAGAAAUCCUUUAUGAAUCAGCCAACCAUGUCAAUUUCGAGAACAUUGAAGUGCUGAGGGGACACAUCCCCCUCUGGCAGUGAUUUCAAUUUAAGGCUGACAGCAUUCUGAAGCUCAUUAAGAGAGGUCGGGUUGUUUAUUCAGUCUGAUAAAGCUGCUAAACAAGAACAGUUGAUGUGAGGUUACCAAUACAGUCUAGUAAUGUUGUCAAACUAGAAUGAUCCCAAAUUGUGAGUCUUUGUAGAGUGCUGAGGGAAUCCAUCUCGUCUAGUGGUGAUAUCAAUUGAGGGCAAGAAUGAAUUCAGAGCUCUACAAGUAAUGUGAGUCUGCUUAUCCAGCCUGGGAAUGUUGUCAAUUCAGAACAGAGAAGAGAGCCUGUCCCUCAGCAAGUGAGCAAAGCCUUUCCUAUUUCACCAGCUCUCAAUAGCCUAUCAAGAUAUAUCAGGAGGCAUGGGCAAUAUUAAGCUUAUCUUCACCAUCACCUUCUUUUGCAUUAUCUUGAAAACUAUUAACACCUGUAACAAAAUAUUUAGUUUAAGAAAGCUUCCAAAUGUAUAGAAAGCAAAGAUGAGAUAAGAAAAUCAUUUCAACAAACAUAUUUCGUUUCAUGUCUCAAACUAUUAAGAGUACUUUCAGGAAUGAGAAAAAUGAUGCUACAAAUUGCCUUUUAGUGAAAGUAAAGAUGAUCUCAAUACCAUUAUUGCUUUAGUCCAUAGCAUUUUAAUUCAAAGGUCAACAAGCCUGACAUAAAGGGUGACCAGAUUGUCAUAUGAUUCAAUAAGAUGCACUCCUUGUGCAAAUUGUUGGUUUCUACUACAUAUGAAAAUUAGAAAAAUCAAAACUCAAACAGAAUGUGAAAGUCUUUAACAAAUUGAAUGGGAAGUAAUAAAUUAGCAAUCAACAGUUUUAACAUGUAAAAAGCAAAGGCCAACAACGUAGAUUCACANNNNNNNNNNNNNNNNNNNNNNNNNNNNNNNNNNNNNNNNNNNNNNNNNNNNNNNNNNNNNNNNNNNNNNNNNNNNNNNNNNNNNNNNNNNNNNNNNNNNUUUUGGAAAAAAAAAAUUUUUCUCAAUCCCUUUUUUUUUUUGGCCCAUACCUUUUAAUUUAAAGGGCCACAAACCUAAAAAAAAGGGGGCCCCAAUUUUUCAUUGGUUCAAAAAAAACCCCCCCUUGGGAAAAUUUUUUGUUUUUUCCUAAUUAAAAAAUUAAAAAAAACAAAACCCAAACCAAAUUGGAAAGUUUUUAAAAAAUUUAAGGGGAAAUAAAAAAUUUGCCACCCACCUUUUUAAAAUGUAAAAAACAAAGGCCCACCAGGGAAUUUUAACACCCCCCCCCCCCCCCCCCCCCCCCCCCCCCCCCGCCCCCCCCUUUAUACAUGCUAGUGCAUAUGAGAAUUAGGAAAACAAAAUUUUAAACGAAGUAUUCAAACUCUUAGAAGAUUGAUUGUAUAAUAAAUGAAAUCUUCAAAAACAGGAGAAAUGUUUUAUUACAAACCUGAAUUUCUAGUCGACAUCAAUUGUGGGAACUUGAGAAAUUUCAGGAGGUCAGUCUUCGGCAUGUUUCUAAGCAUAGAUAAUAGGCUCACAGCGCAUAUUAGGGUAGUCAACAACUGAAGGCCAAACCGUAGAGAUAGCUUGUGAGGCUUCAAGGGUAGUGAUUAGGAAUCACUUGAGACAGACACAUUAGGACACAACAGCUUUGAAUUUUUAAUAGCUUGAGAAAAGUGAGGUGUGGAAUCAUUGCAAAAGAUAAUCCUAGCUUUCCAGUUACUGAAGGGAAAUGAGGUGUUUCAGCCACAAUGCUAUCUGCUUUUGCUUACAACACUAUCAGCCACAAAGCCAUUUCAGGGAAAUGAAGAAUUAUCACAAAUCUCUUAAAUAAGGUGAAUCUUCUAUGAGAUAUUAACAAUAUUAAGGUCAUUGAAUUAUAAUUUUAUGCCAUCAUUAGCAAUUGAAUUGAAGAGCAAAACUUCCAAACUUCCUCAUUUAAGCAUUUUAUCUAAAGGAGAAGGUGUACGUUUCAUACCUGAAAUGGCUUUCUGCAUCAAACCCGUCAUCCACUUUUAUUCGGACAUGAGCAAUCUUGGGCCAGUCUUCACCUUUUUCCCUUUGGCAUCUUUUAGAUAAGUAUGGACAUUCGGAGAUUUCGAGUAGGUAGAGGGUUGUGAGGGAACGCAUCUCUUCUGGCAGUGAUGUCAAUUUAGGGCAUUUACGAAUUUGAAGGUAUUCAAGUGAUGAGAGGCUACCUAUCCAAGCUGGUAAUGUUGUCAAACUAGACCAGUCGUGAAUUGUGAGACUCUUGAGGAUUCUAAGACAAUGCAAUUCUUCUGGCAAUGAAGUCAAUUCAGGACAAGUACCAAUUUCAAGAUCAGUCAGCGAGGUGAGGCCGCCUAUCCAGCUUGGUAAUGAUGCCAAACCACAAGAGUAGUCAAUUGAGAGUGUGUGUAGGGCAGUGAGGGAAUGCAUCUCUUGGGGUAAUGAUGUCAAUUUAGGACAAUUUGUGAUUCGAAGGUGUGUAAGCGAGGUGAGGUUGCCUAUCCAAUGUGGUAAUGUUGCAAAAUGAGAGCAGUCCCCAAUUUUGAGAGUUUGAAGAGUGGAAAUAUGUUGAUGAAGCUCAUCUGGGAGAGACAUCAAAUCAUCUAUGUCUUGAAUCCUCACAGACUUCAAUGAAGAAGCAGUGGCCGACAUUAACUCCCGCAAUACCCCCUCUUUCACUUCAUUCAGACACAGACUCUCAAGGCAAGGUAAGGAAGACAGUUUCAAGGAUGUGGGCUUAAGGCAAUGGGAGAUGUAUAAACUAGAAAGAAGAUGAGAUGAAUGCAGUUCCAAGGAUGCCAAGUCACCACAAUACCUAAUCUCUAAUUGUGAAAGAAGAGGAGAUGAAGGUAGUAGUAAGGAUGUCAACUUAGGGCAAAAGGUGAUUUCUAUACUAGAAACACAAGGAGACGGAUACAAUUCUAAGGAUGCCAAGUCAUCACACUUCUUGAUCAGCAAUAGUGAAAGACAAGGAAAUGAAGGAGGUGAUUGUGUUGCUGAGUCCCUCCUCCAUAAUUCCUUCAACUUUGGCAUAGAACUCAGAUAGAGAUUUUGAAGAGAUGGGAAGAAUGGCCCUUCUGAUGAACACUCCAUGUACUCCACCUUUCCCAGAUGAUGAAGCUUCAGAGACUUGAGGUGACGGAGUCGAACAAUGCAUGGUAGAGUCUGACAUCCUAAACAUGAUGCCAAAUAAAUUGUGGUGAGGUUAGGGAGCAUGGUACUCAAUUCACCAUUCAUCAUCCAACGUGGAAAUCCCUUACCUCCAUAUCCUAUUAUAAAGAGAUCCUUUAGGUUUCGAUGUGGUUGGAGGCCUACCAUCACUGACUCAGCAUCCUCACCUGACUGUUCUUCUUGACCAUAUGACCAUUCUAAUCCCAAGGACUCAAUGUAUUGUUUUUCGACCAAAUUUGCUUCCCUGGAUUCUACCUUAGCAUCCAUCACGUUUUCAAGCUUUUCAAUCCACAAUUCUCCUCUGAGGUUGUUCAGCAUUUUUAAUUCACUCAAUCUGCCAACUUUACUCCCAGUUCCAACAACAAACAGUGGUAGGCUUUCAAGCAAAGAUAACUCUCCCAUCCCACAUGUCAUAUGAGUCAAACUCCCACACCCUUGAUUCUCCAAGUGCCUAAGAUUAAUCAAUCUCCUCAUAUCCUUGGGAAAUUUUUUUACAUGCCCACAAUUAAUAAGUUUUAAUGUUUGCAAAUUAUAUAACCAUGUAAUAGCAUUUGGGAGUACCUUGAAAUUAUUAUAUGAAAGAUCGAGAUAUCUUAAAUGACUCAUUUUGCCUAAAGAUUUCGACACCUUUUUUACACUGAAUCCAUGUAGGCUCAACACACGUAAACUCUUAAAAUUUGGAAUAAGAGUACGCACAACUGAAUCAUUUUUAGAAUAUCUAUUAACAUUCAACAUGGUCCUUAUGUGUUUUAGCUUCAAAUCCUUCCCCGUAAGAUUCAACGAAUUAGAGAAUGAAACGUGAUAAACUCUUUCCAAGAUCUCCUUCACAUUAUUUCCUAAACAAAGGACCUCAAAUCCAACAACUGAUUGUGCAAGAUCAUGUAUAAGAUCAUGCAUUUUGUAAUAUGAUGUAUUAUCAUAUGCAUCUUUUGUAACCUCCUCCAAUAAUGAUCUUGACAACAAUUCCUCAAAAUACCGGUUUCCUACCCCUGAAGCUUGAAUAUACCCCUGUGCCAUCCAUAAUUGUACCAACACUUUUUUCUCAAUUUCAUAGUCUUUUGGAAAUAACGCACAAUAACCAAAACAUUGCUUCAAAUGGAAUGGUAGAGCAUCAUAGCUUAACUUGAGCACUGAUAAAACACUAUCAUUAUUUUCACCUUCCAAUAACAACAAAUUUUUGUUGUUUUUAAUGGACAACCACAUACUUUCUUCAGUUUUAAUGCGCAAUAUUGCUCCUAGUGUUUUGAGGAUAAGAGGAACUCCUUUACACAUAUUUACAAUUUCUUUUCCAAUUUCUACAAGGCUUGGAUACAGUCUUUCUUGUCCUUCUUCAAAUGCUAUUUUUAAAAAUAAAUUCCAAGACUGAUUUUCUUUCAAACCUUUCAAAGAAAAAGGAAAAUGAUCAAUACCCAUAGUUGAUGCAACGUUUCUAUUUCGGGUGGUUACUAGAAUCCUACUCCCUUUAUCACCAACCAUCAACAAGGUCCUCAAUUCCUCCCAUUUUUGGAAGUCAUCAUUCCAAACAUCAUCAAGUACUAGCAAGUAUCUCUUCUGCCUUAUUUUUUCAUGCAAGGAAUCUUUCAAAACGUUUAAUGACCCCAAAUCUACAUCUCCACCACUUAAAGAUUCCAAAAUUUUUUUAACCAGCAACUUUACAUCAAAAUCAUCAGAAACACAAAUCCAUAUCUUAGGCUGAAAAAAGUCUGCUACUCUCAUAUCAUUAUAUACCAGCUGAGCAAGGGCGGUCUUACCCAAACCCCCAAUUCCAAUAAUGGCUACAGCAGAAAGAUUUUUUUCAUUCCCUGAUGACACCAACAAUUUUAUUAUCUCCUCUUUGUCUUCAUCUCUUCCCACCAUUUCAGAGGUCAACACAAAUGAGUGAGUCUCUCUCCGACUACUCUCUACCUCCCUCUGAACUACUUUCCCUUGAAUAAGUUUUAGCAUAGGGAUUUCUUUCACAAUUUCUUCAACCUCUUCUUUGAUAUCCUUGAGUCUAUCACUCAUCUUAAAACGAAGUACUACUUGAUUGGAAGAUGAGAAGAAGUCACUGACCUGCCUUGCUACUCCUCCACGCUGCAGCUGAAGCAUCUCAAAGUCAUCCAACAAGUCAUCAGCAUCAUACACAACAUCUUUGAGCCUCCUCACCCAAGCUUUUACUGCAUCGCUCUCCUCCUGCCUCUUCUCAGCAUCAACCAGUACACCUUUGAUGGUGUCCAGCUUCUUCGUAAGCUUCGUUAACUCUUUUGUCACACCAAACGCAGAUCCAAUUUGUUGAAAAGCCGAGGAGCCCAACUUGGUUAAAACGUCAGCUAUAGUACUGAAUGGGAUUUGUUCAGCCAUUUUGGAAGAACUCAAAGUACAGAACGCCAACAGAGUAUGGUAAGAGAAUGAGAAAUUGAGAGAAUUGUAAGAGAGAAUACCACCAGACAAGUAGCGAUGAUAUACACAGGGCUAGUGGGAGGAUAAUAGAAGUACUCAGAUGCAGUGGGGCUAUUAUAUAAUAAUGAGACACAUGCUCUUCAAAUUUAUGAUUUUUAGGCAUGCAUUUUUACAUCACACUAUGACAUUAUUUCAUAUUGAUUAGUUACACUCCUAUUAAGGAUGAAUUAAAAUUAUAUAUAUAUAUUGAUGAUUGAAUUUUAUGCCUUAUGAAACAUUAAAAAUGUUUUCAAAAAUAAGCAAUAAAGUAAUAAUACUGAAGUACAUGAUAAAUCACAUAAAAUUAUAUCCAAUGAAAUCAAAUAUUUAAGUGGAGAAAAUAGGGUGGUGAACAGAAGAUGGGAUUCCAUUGUACAUUACGUACACAAACAUGUUGAUGGGACCACGGAAGAAAUCGGGAGAAUUGUGUUUUGGAAAGCUUUCAUCCUUCACGUUUAAGCUUAAAACCAAAAAGUGUGAAAAUUAAGAAAAAUAAUAUAAAUUUUUUAUUUUUAUAUAAAUAAUUUUUAUUUACUAAGAAUAUAUAUAUAUAUAUAUAUAUAUGUUAAUUUAAAUUUUAUUUCUUUUAUAUAUCUCCAUAAAAUUUAAUAUAAUUUAGUGAUUUAGAAAAAAAAUACACCCUUUUUCAAACAAAUAAAACUAAAUUAUUAUUAUUAUUAUUAUUUAAAAAUCAAACAUCUUGAAAAAUAUAUUUUUUUGGAAAUUGUAUAUAUAAAAAAUAACUAAAAAUAUGUCAAUUUUUUUUAAAUGAUAUAUUUUUAAAAAAAUUAGUUUUCUAAAAAUAAUAAAUUUUCAAAAUAAUUAUUAAAAAAAUUAAGAUAAAAAAGUUUGUUAAAUAUUAUGGUAGAAAAUAGUUUUAAAAGGUAUUAGUCUUUUCAUAUUUUAUAUCAUUUCUAUCAAUUAUACAACUUAUAUAGAUCAAAACUUAAUUUUUUGGCCCAAUUGGGUUCAAAACACAAUUGUCCCGAAAAAAUUAAGUUUGUGAGAUCUUAUUUUAUUAUUAUUAUUAUUAUUUGACGCAUAUAUCAAUGACAUUUUGACAAAAAUAUUAUUUAUUUUUAAAAUAUUUAGUAAAAUAUGAUAAUUUGUAGCAUUAUUUCCUAAGCUACAAUUUUAUUUUAUUUUAUUUUAAAACUAUCAUCUUAAAAAGCAAUUUCCAUAUUCAACUGAAAAUUCGACUUUCAAUUGAAUUUUUUUCAACUACAAUACAUUUGAAAAUAUUUUUUCAAUUAUAAUAUUUUAAAAAAUAUUUUUUAAAAUUGUGAUAUAUUUUAAAAUCUCAUGUAUUAAUCCCCAUUUAAAAAUUAAGUAAAUGUAAAAUCACAUACAAAAGACAAUGAUUCUUGACCAUAAAUAAGGUUAAUUCUCAAGAAAAUGAUCUUUUUUCAAUUUUGAGUAGGGAUAUGAAAAAGAUAAAUUGAAUUGACCUUGAUCAAAACAAAUCAAUUUGAUUAAAAUUAAAAUUUCAAAUACUGAUUGUUGUGUCUAAUUAAAAUUUCAAAUCAUAAAUAAGGUUAAUACUCUUAUUAAAAUUAAAAUUUCUCUAUAAUGUAUUUAUAUUCACAAGCAAAAGUCAUCUUAUAUAGGAUUUCAAAUACUGCUUGUUGUGUCUAAUUAUUCUCACAAUGAUCAAAAGUGAUAAAUUUUAUGAAUUAAUAAAAAUCUAUAAUUAAUAUGACAUUGGAUUCUCCAAUAUAUAUAUAUAAAGGAAUAAUAUAUUAUAAUAAAGAUGGGAAGAAUGUCAUGCGAAAGUGUGACCUUUACCGGUAUAGCACUAAAUGUUUGACCACUUAAGCCAAGAAAAUAUGAUAAAAUAAUGUCAACUAGCCAACAAAUUGUAAUGAAAUCUCCAACAAGUCUUGGAUAAUCUUUUGGGUUUGAUUCGGUCACUGUAUGAGAAAACAAUUUACUAAAAUACAAAAACCUUUUAGGUGGGUUUAAUAAUUUAGUCAUUACGGACAUCAUAGUCCAAAAUUUAAAAAUACCAAAUUUGACAAGCUUAAAGAAAGACCAUCUAACCAUGAUCAUCGUGAAAGUUGAAACCGACUAAGAAUAUUUUUAGGAGGGAUUGAUUUGAUUAUUGCACGUGAAGAUAAUGUACUGUAAACUAAUCAAUAAAAACAAUAGAGGCUUGAUAUAGAAUAGUACUACCAAGAUUAAAAACCUAUAUAUUAAAAAAUAGCAAAUGGAGAAAGUUUGCUAGCAAUUCCUUCCAACAACUCUCAAAGCUAUCCCAUAACUAAUCGAGAAUCUUUUAAGUUUGAUUUAGUCAUUGCUGACAUCAUAGUUCAAAAAAAUUUAAUAAAGAAAAUUUGACAAGUGUACAAAAUACCACCUAACAGUAAAUAUGAAAAUUCAAACUUACUAAAAAUAUUUUAGAAGAGCUUGAUUUAAACAUUGCAUAAGAAGACAAUACACUAUGAUAAAAUAAAGUAAGAACAACAGAGACUUAAUAAUAGUCUAAAAAUUAAAAAUAAAAAUAAAAAUUAUAUAUUAAAAGAUAACAAAUUGAACAAGUUUAAUAGCCACCUCCUUCCGACAACUAUGAAAGUUUUAACAACUAAUUGAGAAUCUUUUGGGUUUGAUUUGGUAGAAAAUAAUAUACUAAAAACAACUAUUUUUUAGCUGGGUUUAAUUUAGUCAUUGUUGGAUGGCAUGGUUUGAAAUUUUGAAAAAAAAAACAAACAAACAAAUUUGAUAUGCUAAAAAAAGACCAUCCUAAAAUACAAUUAACUAAAAAUAUUUCACUAUGAUAAAAGUAAAAAAAUAAAGAAAAAUUUUAAUAACCUUAUUCUUAUUUAUAAGGUUACAAUCAUAAUAAUUAUAAUAAAUAUUUUUAUGAUAAUUCUGAAGGUUUUGUGAAUAUCUUAAAAGUUUAUUACAAGAAAUGAUGAUAUCUAAAAACUUUUGGACCUAUUUAUAAAUACUCUCCAUUAAAUGUUAACCACUGUAGAAUAUGUAUCACUAAAACAUUAUUAGGUUUUAUUAGGAAAAACCUUGUGAAGAAAAAAAAAAAAAAACUCUAGUGAAAGAAAAAAAGUAUAAUAUUAUUUUCAUAUUUUUGGAUUAUUUCGUCGAAAACCUUGUUAGCAAAAUCCAAUGAGAUAAAACUCGAGCAAAGGAAAAAAGAAUCUAGUAUAUAAGUACCCUUAUUAAUUGGAUCCUCAUCAUAUUAACAUGAUUAUACUUUCUCUAAUUACUCAUCAUGAAGAUCUUAAUUUGAGUCGACACACUUCAAUGUUAUCUAUGAGCUUUUGAAGUGUUGCAAUUGGUAAUGCUUUUGUCAGCAAGUAUGCUAAAUUAUCACUUGACAGUAGGGAUGGCAACGGGGCGGGUUUGGGGUGGGGCGGGGCGGGCGGGUAUGCUACAUUCCCAUACCCGCCCCGUUUAACUUUUUAUUUAAUUUUAAUUUUAAUUUUUUAAAUUACUUUUAAAAUUUUUAAUUAUAUUAAAAUAAAUAUAUUUUAUAAAUAAUUAAAUUAUUUUAUUUUUUAUAACUUAAUUUAUUAAAAAUAAUUUAUUAUUAUCUAUAUAUUAAAAAUAAUAAAAUAAAAAUUAAAUUAAAUUAAUUUUAAAUUUUAAAUUUAAUUUAAUUUUAAUUUUAAUUUUAUAUAUAAUCGGGGCGGGGCAAUACCUGAACCCGCCCUAAACCCGCCCCGAGUUUCAAAAAAAAAUCCCAAACCCGUCUCAUACCCGUCCCAUUGCCAUCCCUAGUUGACAGUGCUCUUCAAGAGCUUAUGAUUGUAGAAGAAUUUGAUGAAAUGCCCUUGGUUUGAUAACCUUUAAUAUAUUAUAUUUUAAUUUGUGGAAUAUAUUCAACAUGAUAUUCAUUUAAUGCUAUUGGAUUGUCUUUGAUAGAGAAUAAUUAACAAGACUCUCAUAUAUCUUGGAUCAUAAAUCUUAACCACACGAGUCUACCAUGCUUCAAGUGCAUCUUACAUUCAUUUGUCAUUAUAAUAAUUAUUUGCCUUAUUAGGAUAUUAAUUAUCUUUAGCACCAAAUAUUUUAUCAUACUUCUAUUGUAUUAGUUAAUUGUCAUGCAAGGACAUCACUUUAUCAUAUUCACUUGUAUAAAAAUUAUCUAAAAAGUUGCAUGUCAUUCUUCUAGAUUGGCUUUCCCAUCCCUAAUAGUGAGAAAAUUGUUUCAUUAAAAUAGAAAUUCUCAAAGCAUGCAUGUCAUACUACCCUUUAGGAGUGUAGAUAAACCAGUCACUAAGAAAUGUCUAAUAUAUAUCCAUAUGAUGUUAACGCAAUGAGUUGAUGUAUAACUAUUCAUCGGGGAUGAAAUGCUUAGUUGUAGGACUGAAACUCAUUAAUUGUCCUUAUAUGUCAUACCUUUAACAAUCAUUUUUAUGGUUUUGCAUAGAUUAUUUUACAAGUAUUUUGUUUUUAAUCAUUUUAUCAAUUUUGAUGGGAAAGUGUAGUCUUCUUUUUGGGAAAACUAUAACAUCCAUAGAUUCAAGAGUUAUUUUAUACCACAAUUCAUAUGAUCACAUUUUUGUCCACUGACACAUUAUGAAAUGGUUACAUUCACUUCUAGUUGGAUAAGACUAGUAAUUUUUCACGAAAAAAUCAUUAUUCUCAUAUGCAUUUAGUUAUAGUGAGCUUUGGGAGGAAUUAUAAUCUUUUGAUGCUUAUAUAUCUCUUUUAUAUUAUUGUAUAGAAUGAAAGUGCUAUUUAAGGCUAUUGAGAUCAUUAUUUUAAGAAUUAAAUUUAUCAAAAAUUCAAUUUUAAUAAAAAAAAAUGUAUAUAAGGGAAUAAUAGAUUAUAACAAAGAUGGGAAGAAUGUCAUGUGAAAGUAUGACGUUCACCCAUAAAAUACUACAUGUGACAAAGCUUAAGCCAAAAAAAUAGGAUAAAAUAAUGUCAACUAGCCAAGAAAUUAAAAUGAAAUCUCCAACAAGUCACUGAUCAUCUUUUAGGUUUGAUUUGGUCAUUGCAAGAGAAAACAAUUUACUAAAAUACAAAAUCCUCUAGGUGUUUAAUAAUUUAGUCAUUGUAGACAUCAUAGUCCAAAAUUUUAAAAUAGCAAAUUUGACAAGCUUAUAAAAGGCCACCUAACUAUGAUCAUGAAAAUUGAAACCGACUAAAAAUAUUUUUAGGGGGAAUAGAUUUGAAUAUUGCACAUGAAGACAAUGCACAAUAAACUAAUAAAUAGAAGCAAUAGAGGCUUGAUAUAGAAUAGUGUUACAGAGAUUAAAAAACUAUCUAUUAAAAAAUAGCAAAUGGAGGAAGCUUACUAACAAGAAUUAAAAUUUCGGUUUUCAUCGGCAAAAUAUCGUCGAUGUAUCAAAUAUCGGUGGUGCCCAACACGAUAUUGGGCACAGAUUAUCGAUCAUUGGGAAUUUUGAAAUUUUUUUAGUAAUAUCGUCGAAAUAUUGACAAUAUAUCGGUUUGGAGGCGAAGUAUCAACGAAAAAAUUGGCAAAAAAUCGCCGAUUUUUUAAUUUUUUUAAUUUUUAAUUUUUGACGAUCCAACGGUUAGAUUUGAAUUUUUGACGAUUCGAUGACCUAGAUUUCACCUGUGUUUUUAUAUUAUCAUUUUAUUUUUAAUUAUUUUUUAUAUUUAUCUCAUUAAUCCUAUCUUUAAAAAUUAUUAUCACUUCACUCUUAAAUAUUUUUUUAUAUUUAUCCUUUCAAUUUUAUUUAAUUUUAAAUGUUUUUAUUUUAAAAUAUUAAAAAUAUAAUUUUACCCAAAAAAAUUGCUACAAUAUAAAAAAUUAAGGAAGUUCUAAUAUUUUAUAAAUUAAAAUUAAUUAUAGUGAGCUUUGGGAAGAAUUAUAAUCUUUUGAUGCUUAUAUAUCUCUUUUAUAUUAUUUUAUAGAAUGAAAGUGCUAUUUAAGGCUAUUGAGAUCAUUAUUUUAAGAAUUAAAUUUAUCAAAAAUUCAAUUUUAAGAUAAAAAAAAUGUAUAUAAGGGAAUAAUAAAUUAUAACAAAGACGGGAAGAAUGUCAUGUGAAAGUAUGAAAAUAGGAUAAAAUAAUGUCAACUAGCCAAGAAAUUAAAAUGAAAUCUCCAACAAGUCACUGAUCAUCUUUUAGGUUUGAUUUGGUCAUUGUAAGAGAAAACAAUUUACUAAAAUACAAAAUCCUCUAGGUGUUUAAUAAUUUAGUCAUUGUAGACAUCAUAGUCCAAAAUUUUAAAAUAACAAAUUUGACAAGCUUAUAAAAGGCCACCUAACUAUGAUCAUGAAAGUUGAAACCGACUAAAAAUAUUUUUAAGGGGAAUAGAUUUGAAUAUUGCACAUGAAGACAAAGCACGAUAAACUAAUAAAUAGAAACAAUAGAGGCUUGAUAUAGAAUAGUGUUACAAAGAUUAAAAAACUAUCUAUUAAAAAAUAGCAAAUGGAGGAAGCUUACUAACAAGGAUUAAAAUUUCGGUUUUCAUCGGCAAAAUAUCAUCGAUAUAUCAAAUAUCGGUGGUGCCCAAUGUGAUAUUGGGCAUCGAUUAUCGAUCGUUGGGAAUUUUGAAAAUUUUUUAGUAAUAUCGUCGAAAUAUUGACAAUAUAUCAGUUUGGAGGCAAAAUAUCAGUGAAAAAAUUGGCAAAAAAUAGCCGAUUUUUUAAUUUUUUUAAUUUUUAAUUUUUGACGAUCCAACGAUUAGAUUUGAAUUUUUGACAAUUCGAUGAUCUAGAUUUCACCUGUGUUUUUAUAUUAUCAUUUUAUUUUUAAUUACUUUUUAUAUUUAUCUCAUUAAUCCUAUUUUUAAAAAUUAUUAUCACUUCACUCUUAAAUAUUUUUUUAUAUUUAUCCUUUCAAUUUUAUUUAAUUUAAAAUUUUUUUACUUUAAAAUAUUAAAAAUAUAAUUUUACCCAAAAAAUUGCUACAAUAUAAAAAAUUAAGGAAGUUCUAACAUUUUAUAAAUUAAAAUUAAUUAUAGUGAGCUUUGGGAAGAAUAUUAAAAAAUAUAGUGAGCUUUGGGAAGAAUUAUAAUCUUUUGAGGCUUAUAUAUCUCUUUUAUAUUAUUGUAUAGAAUGAAAGUGCUAUUUAAGGCUAUUGAGAUCAUUAUUUUAAGAAUUAAAUUUAUCAAAAAUUCAAUUUUAAUAUAAAAAAAUGUAUAUAAGGGAAUAAUAAAUUAUAACAAAGACGGGAAGAAUGUCAUGUGAAAGUAUGACGUUUACCCAUAAAAUACUACAUGUGACAAAGCUUAAGCCAGAAAAAUAGGAUAAAAUAAUGUCAACUAGCCAAGAAAUUAAAAUGAAAUCUCCAACAAGUCACUGAUCAUCUUUUAGGUUUGAUUUGGUCAUUGCAAGAGAAAACAAUUUACUAAAAUACAAAAUCUUCUAGGUGUUUAAUAAUUUAGUCAUUGAAGACAUCAUAGUCCAAAAUUUUAAAAUAACAAAUUUGACAAGCUUAUAAAAGGCCACCUAACUAUGAUCAUGAAAAUUGAAACCGACUAAAAAUAUUUUUAGGGGGAAUGGAUUUGAAUAUUGCACAUGAAGACAAUGCACGAUAAACUAAUAAAUAGAAGCAAUAGAGGCUUGAUAUAGAAUAGUGUUACAGAGAUUAAAAAACUAUCUAUUAAAAAAUAGCAAAUGGAGGAAGCUUACUAACAAGGAUUAAAAUUUCAGUUUUCAUCUGCAAAAUAUCGUCGAUAUAUCAAAUAUCAAUGGUGCCCAACACGAUAUUGGGCAUCCAUUAUCAAUCAUUGGGAAUUUUGAAAAAUUGUUAGUAAUAUCAUUGAAAUAUUGACAAUAUAUCGGUUUGGAGGCAAAAUAUUAGUGAAAAAAUUGGCAAAAAAUAGCCAAUUUUUUAAUUUUUUUAAUUUUUAAUUUUUGACGAUCCAACGGUUAGAUUUGAAUUUUUGACAAUUCGAUGACCUAGAUUUCACCUGUGUUUUUAUAUUAUCAUUUUAUUUUUAAUUACUUUUUAUAUUUAUCUCAUUAAUCCUAUUUUAAAAAAUUAUUAUCACUUCACUCUUAAAUAUUUUUUUAUAUUUAUCCUUUCAAUUUUAUUUAAUUUUAAAUGUUUUAUUUUAAAAUAUUAAAAAUAUAAUUUUACCCAAAAAAAUUGCUACAAUAUAAAAAAUUAAGGAAGUUCUAAUAUUUUAUAAAUUAAAAUUAAUUUGAUAAGAUAAAUUAUUAAUAAUUUUAAUGAUUUAAAUAAAUUAAUGUUAAUAGAAAAAGUUGUUACCACAUAUUUUUAAUAAAAUUUUAGAUAUUAAAUCUCAAAUAAAAUAUUUUAUAUAAAUUAAUUUAUUUUUUCAUUUAAAAUGUAAUAAAACAUGUUUUAAUAAAAAUAUUUUAAAAUUUUUAAUAUAAGGCCUCAUUCAUCUAAUAAUAUGAUAGAUCCACAUCCAUCUUCAUUUUGGUACUAAGGACUAUUAUAAUGUCAUAUGUAUUAUAUUUAUGUAUAAACUAUUCUUAUUCAAUAAAAGCAAACAUUUCUUAAUUCAAUUCUAACUUUCUAAGUGUACACUUCCAAAAUUCAUAUUUAUUAUUCUUAAAAUCCAAGUAUCAAAUCUACUGAUAUAUCUCUAUUUACCAAUAUUUUUCUUCUUGACCAUAUCUAUGUCAAUUACACUUAUAAAAUAACUUAAAAAUGUGUAUUCUUGCUUAUUUUAUCAUUUUUUUUUUAGUUUUUCCAAGUAUUCCUAUAAAUUUUGAAUAAUAUUCAUUGCACCGAUAUUUUUUAUAUAUCCGUAAAAUCGAAGUACUGAUAUAUCCGUAAUUACCGAUAUUUUCAUCAUUACUUACUAGCAACUUCCUUUCAUGUUCCAACAACUCUGAAAGCUUCCAUACCUAGCCGAGCAUUUUUUGAGUUUUGAUUUUUUUCAUUACAUGGAAAAAAUAUUGUACCAAAAAAAUAAAAGUCUUUUAGGUGGGUUUAACUUAAUAGUCGUUGACAUCAUAGUUCAAAAUUUUUUUAAAUAGCAAAUUUGACAAGUGUACAGAAUACCACUUAACCAUAAAAAUAUUCAAGAGGGGCUUGAUUAAAAUAUUGCAUAUGAAGACAAUUUACUAUAAUCUAAUAAAGUAAGAAUAGCAUUGACUUAAUAAUAACCUAAAAAUAAAAAAGAAACUAUAUAUUAAAAAAUAGGAAAUCAAACAAGUUUAUUAUUAGCAACCUCCUUCCAACAACUAAGGAAGUUUCCACAACUAAUUGAGAAUCUUUUGGCUUUUAUUUGGUAGAAAAUAAUACACAAGAACAAACAUUUCUUAGUUAGGUUUAAUUUAAUCAUUGUCAAUGGCUCUUAGAGUGCAUGAUAUAUAUUAUGAGGUCUAAUCUUAUAAGCUUAAAUAUCUAUUAGAGCACAUGAUAUUCAUUUUCUUCUCCCUUACAAUAGCCUCCAUUUUUUGGUUUACAUGUGGGCUUUAUGGAUUGAGUAAAUAAACAUGUUGUGGUGAGGUUCAAACUAUUGACCUUCCAACAACAAAGGCUCUAGGUAAUACCAAUUCUUGGAUCAGGAUUUGAUCAUCUUAAUCUUAUAAUCUUUAGUUUUUCUACUAAUGUUGGACUAUUAGAAAAAGUAUAAUUAUGUCAACAUGACGAGGAACAAAUAAAUAAGAAUGUUAUUAUGUUGUACUCUUUUUUUUCUUUGCUCAAGUUUUAUUUCAUUGGGCUUUGCUGACAUGGUUUUUAAUAAGAUAAUUUUUGUUGUAUAAAAAUAUUAAAAUAAUAUUAUACUCUUUUUCUUUUACUCAAGUUUUUUCCAUUGGGUUUUCCCUACUAAGGUUUUGUAAGAUGUUCUAAAAUGGUUAGCAUCCAAUGGUGUGUAUUCUAAUUAGGUGCAAAAAUUUGUAGAUGUUACCAUUUCUCAUAAUAUAUGUUUUUGAUAUCCAUGUAAACUUCAUAAUUAGUAUAAAAGUAUUUAUUGUAACAUUAUAAUACUAAAAUACUUUGGUUAGUUUCAAUUUAAGACAAUCUUUUGUGAGCCUAUCAAAUUUACUAUUUUUAAAUUUUUUGAUUAUGACAUUGUUAGACUACAUGAUAUACAUAAUAUGAUUUGGGAUUAUUAGAUCCGACUUUGACUAUCUCGUUUGAAAUCUAAUUGGUAUAUAGUGAUGAUAGGCUAAGUCUUUUAUUGCAUUCGACUACCAUCAUUUAAGUGAUUCAUCUACCAAGCUUAAGAACGACAUUGUUACACCCCAAUAAUCCCCCCCCCCCCCCUAACAUGAUGCUCUUGUGGCUCAAACCUAUGACCUUGACUUUGACACCAAUGUUGAAUAUCGAUUUUUCUAAAAGCUUAAAUUUAUAAGAUUUGGGCUCACAAUGUAUAUUAUGCACUCUAAUAGAGACACUUCAAUGUUGGCUAUAAGCCUCUAGAGUGUUGUAGUUGACAACACUUUUGAAAAGAAUUUGAUGAAAUAUGCUUUGUUUUAUAAUAUUUAAUAUAUAAUGCAAUUUAUUCAAUAUGGUAUUCAUUUGCUACCAUUGGAUUUUCUUUGAUAGAGGAUAAUUUAGAACAGUCUCAAAUAUGUUUGAUCAUAAAUAUUAACAACUCACAUUCACAACUUGCUUCAUGAAUCAUGUUAUUUUGGAAUGAUUUGAGGAGGUGGCUACAAUUCAUUGCUUGACCAAAUUUCCAUAAUCAAUAUAUGUUUGAUCUUGUUCUAAUGCCUUCGAGUUGGAAUAGGAACUAUACAUCUUGCUAGUACAUUAAUUUGUACAAUUUGCAAGAUAUAUCAUUAUGUUAAUUGCAUUGAGAUAUGAUACUUUUGGACCAAACACUUCCAUUUUCUUCUUUGGAUGAAAUGUAUCUUUAUUUACUUCAAGUGAACAAAUAACUAUAUUAAAGCUAAAUGAGUGUCAUUUAUCCACAGGAAAGUAUUUUAAGACUUUUUGUAUAUAUGUCAACUGAUGGACUAACACACCUCUUAGAAAAUAAUUGAUCUAUAAGUUUAGAUAAAAUUUUGGUUUUCCAAUAUCCUUCAUUUUCUUAUGAACUCUAUUAAACCAAAGUUUGAUUAUUAUUGAUUUUGAUAAUAACAAAAUAAGGUUUGAAACUAAUGAUUGAUCCUAAGUGUGUUUAGGUAAGAAGAUUUCUAAAGAAGCAAUUAAAGAUAUAUAAAAACUAAGUGACAUCAAAAAGAAAGAGAAAGGACUUAAAAAGAAGAAGAAUGAAAACCUAUUCUCAAUAUCUUUUUAUAAGGUUGUAAGUGCACUAGGUUCAUAUUGCAUUACAACUUUAUUUAAGAACUUAAAAUUAUCCAAGUGCCUAAUUGGUUUCAUUCCUUUAUAAAUUGAAUGAAGAAUCUUUCUAGAUGAGAACCAUUUUUGUUUAGUGAUAUUCAUAGUUAAAAUGGUUUUCGAAAUGACAAGGAAUUAUCUAGCCAAUUUCCCUAAGGAUUUUGUGAUAAAGUUGCAAAACCUAUAGAACUCAUUUAUGUAUUUUUGUGAAUGAUUUUUAUUAACAAAGUUCCCAAUAUCUCAAGAAAGAUUCAAGUAUUGAAUCUAGUUAAUUGAAGACCUGCAUCCCUUCAAUGAGGUUAAGGUGUAUUUAUAACAACUAAUACUCAAUCAUGUAGAUAUUAUCCGUUUUGGACCCAAAAGGACCCUCACAACUUUAAAACGCAUCUACAAGGUUAAGAAAAGUUCAUACAUAUAUAACCCCACUAACUUUCUCCCUUAUCCGAUGUGAAAUAUCACAAACACCCUAUAUGUAGACACAAUGUCCUCAUUGGGUUCCAUGGGAUUAUGGGGACAAACAAACAAACACCCCUUAUGGGGCCAAACAAACCCCAACAAACCCCAACAUCAAGGUUGAGAAUUGACUUUAAUACCAUUUGUAAUGACUUGCACCCAACUGUGUAGAUAUUGUCCACUUUAGGCUCAAAUGAGCCCUUAUGGCUUUAAAAUGCAUUUAUAAAAUUAGAGGAGUUCAUACAGUGUUAAGAACUUUCUCCCCUAUUCAAUGUGGGAUAUCCAAACACCAUUCAUCAUUCUCUCCUCAUGUAGACAUAACAUCCUCAUUAUGCCCAUGAGAUUACGAAGCCAAAUAAACAAAACACCCCUUUAGGUUAAAUAGCUGACAAUCUCUACACGGGUGUGAGUCAUUAUAAAUGAUAUCAAAGUCAAUCAUUGACCUCGAUGUAGGGGUUUGUUUGGCCUCGUAAUCCCAUGGGACACAACAAAGAUGUUAAUGUGUCUAGAUGGGGGUGUUUGUGAUAUCCCACAUCAAAUAAGGGAGAAAGUUAUUGGUACUAUAUAUGUAUGAACUCCUCUUAAUCUUGUAGAUGUGUUUUAAAGUCGUGAGGGUUAAGUCAUUACAGAUGGUAUUAAAGUCGAUCCUCGACCCCAAUGUGGAGGUUUAUUUGGUCCUAUGAGGGGUGUUUGUAAUAUCCCACAUUGGAUGAGAGAGAAAAUUACUUAGACUAUAUAUGUAUGAACUCCUCUUAACUUUGUAGACGUGUUUUAAAGUUAUGAGAACCUCUUUAUACAUAGAGCGGACAAUAUCCACACCUUAUAGUAUUCACUUAACUAAUAGGAAGUUGUUGCGUCGUGUACUUGAAUCAAAUUGUAAAUACUAAAGAGUAAGUCUUUAUGGUAAAACUACUAGGUAAAUUUGUGUAAUUUGAUCUCAUAUAAUGGAUUUAGAUUAGUGGUCUUAGGCCUCAUGGUUUUUUUUUUUAUCUCCACAAUUAGUGUCAGGAUUUUCCACAUAAAAAUUUCUAUGUCUCACGACGUAUUUUGUGAUUUUGUGGUUACUUUGAUCAUAUAAAUUAUCCUUGAUAUAUUGCAAGUUUAAUUGGGUUUCAAAACUAUUCUCCCUAUUUAAAUUUAGGUUAAUAAAUUUCAUUCCUUAUAUUAUAUUUUUUUUAAAUACUUCAACCUCUAUAGGUGUUAUCCUACUGGACUUAGGUUUUUCAAAGAAUAAUAACAUAAAAGAAAUAAAGUGGAAUUAUAUGAAAAUUAUGAAUAACAUUAAUUUGAAACGAUUUUUCAAUUGAUAAUUUAAAAUUUCAAAUAAUAAAAUAAAUUUGAAAAAUAAUUUUAAAUUGACAAUUUUAAAAGAAGAAUUUUUCCAAAUCUUUUAAGAAAUUUAGAAAGGAAUUUAAAUUGGAAUUUAAAAAUGAAAAUCUUUUCAAAUCUCUUUGAUUUUUUAAAAAGAAAAUAUUUCCAAAAUUCUCUAAGUAUUUGAAACUAACCUCUUUUUUUUUUUUUUUUUUUUUUUUUUUUCUAAAAUACGAUUUCUAAAUUGAUUCUAAGUCAACUAGUUUUUCUUUAGUAUAAAUAUGUCUUUUAGGAGAGUUCUAAGAACUCACACACCUAAGCUUUAAGUCAUUAUUCUUUGUGCUUAACCCGAAACUCUCAAAGGUGUUUGUUUUCAUUCUUGGAUUCAUGAGAAAGAUUUGCAUUCCCUUAAGUUGUUGAGGAGUCCACUAAGGAGCACAGUUGUGUUGCAUGUAGAUGAGAAAUUAGGUGUAGGUUCAAAGGUGUAAGUAAGUCUCAGGAAGUAGUAACCAUCAAGUAAAUUUAUGUACCUAGUCUUCAUAUUUAGUAUAUUACAACUCUAUGGUCUCUUGACCCUAAAGUUUUUAUUUUCACAAAGUCUUUGGAAGACUUAGUGGGUGAUUUUGUAAAUUGUUGUCUUCUUAUGUAAUUAUAUUUCUCUACUUCAUAUGUAAUUCUUGAAAAGGAAUUUAAAAAUAAAAAGUUAGGUUAAAAAGAAAGAACUAUCUAUUCAAUGCCCUUUAGGUAGGUUCAUAACAAGACCUAUAACUUUCAAUUGGUAUCAUAGUUAGAAAAAAAAUAUAUAAAAAUCAAAAUUUUCUUCAAUUCCUAUCUUUGAUAUUGUUUUCACGGAAUUUAAAGAAAAAAAUAUUUACUUUUGGCUUGUAAAUUUUUUUUCUUAGUCGGGAAAGAUUGCAUAAAGAAUAUAAAUGGUUGGAUAAAAAACUCAAGUAACAAGAACUCGUAUGUGAGUAUUUAUCUCUUGAAUAAAAAAAGGCAGCAUGAAAUAGUUGCUAAUUUGAAUAAAAAAAUGAUCACUUUCCAAUAAAGUUGCCUUCUUUGAAAAAGAAAAUCAUUGGUGUCAUAAAAGUAAAAAAUCAUUGACUCUUGAAAUAAAUAAUUGCAAGAGAGAAUUAUCUUGUAGGAAAAAAAUUAGUCGGUCCAAAGAAACAUAAGAAAGUCAAGAAAGUGACUUGGAGUUAGUCCAAGUCAAGUGAAAGUAAAUCAUGGAAUUUUGGUGAGAAUAGCAAUCAAAAUGACUACUUUGUAUUGGUUGCACCUGUUUGAAUAUGAUAAUAAUUCUUUUAAUGAUAGAAAUUUUGAUGAUAGUGUAUGUGUGUUUGGUGAUACUGAUGAAGCCUAUCAAAGCUAGUCUUUUGAAUGAAUGCAUCAAAUUAAAGAAAGAAAGAAAGCAUGCUAGUGAAUGAUAAAUAAUCUAUUGAGAUAUUUGCUUUAAAUGAUUCACUUAAAGAUAAGAAUAUUGUUUCGAAAAGAGAAAGAAAACUUACUUGAAAAAAUUAGAUUUCUAGAGAAUUAACAUAGUUGCUUGGUUGAGAGAAAAAACAAAGUUAAAUUCUAGAAAUUGAAAAACUCAAGAAAAACUUGGCCUCAAAAAAUGAAAAUUUGCAUUUAGGAACUAAAAUGUUUAAUGAAAUCAUUAGAAAAGGGAAAUUCAAUGGAGAUAAGGGAUAUCUUGGUGAGUCAUAUGCAAUGUUUGGUUUAGUUUACCUUGUAGUUGCUAAUGUGGGUGCUAGCAACUAAGUGGGAGUGUUUGAAGUAGGAUGAAUGGAAUUCCAAUGUUCCAAAUCAGUUGAUUACCAACGAUGAUUGGAGCUUAUAUGUGAAGCUACAUUUAUCCCUCUUAGCUUAGGCUUUUGAGAGUAUAUAUGGUCCCAAAUCACCAGAUCAUGAAGACAACAUUUUGGGAUCUAAGAAUUCCCUCAUAGUAGUUGGGGAUAAAGCUUUUGGGCAAACCCCAAAGCAGGAGAUAGUCUGAGGAAUUUUCAGCUACCAUCCUCGUGUAUUCUUUACUAUUCUCAGGCUCUCUUAGUAAUUUUCAUUGCAUUGUUCAUGUGUAAUUAGUUUUUGAAGAUUUUAAUAUAGAUGCCUAUAGUUUUGUAUAGAUUUUGAGCACUUUGGACUUCAAUUUAAUGGUUUUUUUGAAUUGCAAGUUCUGACCUUAUUCUCUUUGUUCUUUAUCAUGUGUGACCAAUAGUUCUUCAAAGUUAAGGAGGGUGGUCCGUGAAGUCCCUUCAGGAACAAUUAAUGCACCUCACGGGAUGAAUUGAUAUUGUCUUCACCUUGUAAUCGAAGCCUCCCAAACCCAUUUUGCUCUUUGGAAUGGAAACUUAGAAGUUGCUUUUAAGGUAUUUUAUGUGCUGAGGGUCGUAACUGUCUUUGAACUUUGAAGUUUAGGCUAGAAUUGAAGAAAAAUGUGAGCAAAAACACAAAAAUACAAAGAAAAAAAAUUGAACAUUAAUAAAUUAUGUUUAUAUGCUACUUCAAAUUCAUUCAGUUUUAUUUUUUUUAUUUAUUAUUUUAUAUAAAAAUUAAAUAAAUUAAAAAUCCAUAAAUUUUUAAUUAAUUCUAAUUACAUUUGAUUGUUUUCUUUUUUUGUACUUUUUCAAACAAAACCAAAUAGUAGGAAAUCAUUUUUCUUUAAUACUAUUUUCUUUUUCUUUAAUAUUUUCUGGGAAUUAAUAUAGUCUUAAAUCUGACAUUGGCAUUAGGAUGAAAAUAAGGUUGUUAAAAUGAUAGAAAGGUUAAGGUUGCAAAGGCAGAGCUACAAGUAAAUGUUUAUCUGUUGGAGGCUCUAAGUUGUGUAUUGGCCGUGAAAGGAGGAACUUCAUUAGACCCCCUUUUGUUGGAAUGUUAAGUUUAUUCGGUGUUUACAUAGCUGUAAAUAAUUUUUUUUCUCGCUUUUUUUUAACCAAAUAUUUCCCAGGUCUUCCAAUAUCUCAAUAUCUCCUUAUUAAACAAUCCUCUUUCAACCACAACACAAUUUAAAGAGAAAAUCAGCACCACUUUGGGACAUCAUGCCUGUGAAAGACUCCCUGUACUUGAGGAAUCAACACAGUCAGCAUUCAGGGCUCAAGUAUUCUUUUCAUUUUAGGCUUUUAGAGUAACAAACCCAUGGUGUGCCAGUAAAUGGAAAAAUUGGAGAUGAUUACAGCAUACAGAGACAACAUAAAAAUGAACUAAAAUCAAUUAAAUAAACAAAAUUUCAAAUUCAAAUAUAAAGCACUCAGUAUAUUGGGCUCAAUAUUAGAAACUAGAAAAGAUCCUAAGGAAAAAUGAACUCAGAUAAAAGAUUUACAUACAAACAAGUCGAAAAGGACCCAAAAAAUAAACAUCAUUGAAGUACUACUCCAAGAGAUAUAUUAAUACAUAAUAAGUCAUCUAUUAAUGUUUAGAAAACAAAUACACUUGAGGAAGGUUUAGAAGCCAUGAGUGCUAUGAUCUCAUGUUUGGGUUUGAAUUAAAGCUUCAACAAUCACCCAUGAUAACAAUGAUGGAGAAUUUUGAAUCCACCAUUCCUUUAUCAAUCAACAUCCUCUUAAUCCAUACAUUCCCUUUUUUACUUUCCAUGUUUCAGUAAUGCAUUUUAAGGCAACACCUAUUUCAGCAAGGAAAGAUCAAUGGAAACUGAGAGACUGUAGCAGUCAUUCUUGUGCUCCUCAUUCCCUUCUCUCUUUGAGGUUGCUUGCUUUUCAAGAAAAUUUCAUUCAAGUUUUCAACCAAAAUUUUUAAUGGAUUUUCUUGAGAAAGAAUGGGAUGAUUCUUCAUUCAUUCAUAUCUCAAUUUUGAAUCUAUUUGGGUUUGUGUAAAAACAAAUGUUCUUCUUGUGUGAAUUCAAGAAGAACCCGAGAUUGAACUUGAUGUGGACUCCAAGUGUGCUUUGGAAGAAGAAGGUGAGAAGUUGAAAGUGAAAGGUAUUAGUAAGGAUUGGUAGGUUUGAACUAAGUAAAAUCUUGUAUUCAGUUUUUAUUCUUCAUAGUGGACAUUUUUUAUUGGUUGUUGGCCCGUGGUUUUUUACCUAUUCGGAGGUUUUCCACGUUAAAAUUUGGUCUCAUUGUCUCUCAUUCUCCUCUUCAUUUCAAUUUCAAUUUUAGCUAUCUUUGAUAUUUUGGACGUUUAAUUUUUGGUUGAAUGUUGAGGUAAAAUAUAUAUGAGUUACCUUUAAUGUUAUUGUUAGCCCAAGGGUUCUCCUAAUCGGGUUUUGAUGAUAACAAACCAUGGCUAAGUAACUAAUUGGUUUAAUGUUUAAGAAUCUCAGGUAUAAACUCGAAAAUUCAUCAAAUGACCAAAUGGAUACAAGAUCGAGACGCUUGGAAGACUUGAGAUCAUAGGAAAUGAAUGUAAGAUGAUAGCAUGAGUGCACUUAGGAUGUUCAUACCUUUUCAUGCAUCUUAGAAAACUCGGUUUAUUCUUUAAAACUUGAUUUUCUUUAAAACCCGAGUUUUAUCAAACAUACCUUAGGCAAAUUGAUUCAAAAGUGGCAUAUUAACUCACCUAAAGACCUUGCCUAAGUAUUGGAAAAGAAAGAAAUAAAAAAGGAUAGGUUUUCGGAGCCAAAAGGCUCAACCGGUCGAGGCUAAGGCCAACCGGUCAACCGGUUGAGUAACCGGUCGACCAGCUGAGGUCGUCCGGUCGAGGAUCGGACGAGGAAGGUUAAAAACAUUUUCUCUCUCCCAGUAGCCUUCUUUUCCCGGUCGAGGUGAUUCCUUUACCGGUCGAGGACUGGUCGAGGUCCGGUUGAGGCAACGGUAACCUGUCAUACAUUAAAUGCUCCAACAGCUAGUGAACCGGUCGACCCCUAGCUCGACCGGACGAGGCUGCCUUUUGCUGUUUUUGACUCCCGAGUUUAGAAACCUAUAAAUUGAGAGCUCCACUUCAUUCAUGACCAAGAGAACAAUUGCAUUCAAAGCCUACCUACCUGUUCUUGAUCAAAAAGCUUUCAUUUCUUUCUUAGUGCAUUAAAACCAUCACUUGCAUAUUCUUAGUGCACUAUUGUAAAUCAUCCUAGCUUUCUCUUAUACUUGAGUCAUCCUUAAGCUAGGUUGAGAGUUUCAUCUUUGUGUAAACUGAGUGUGAAAGCCUUCAAGUGGUUCAAAUCUUAAAGAGAUUGUGUAAGAGCCCAUUGGAGCCGGAAUCCAAGUGUAAGAAGAUUGAAAGCUUGAUUGAAGCUUCAAGAUUAGUGGAACCCUCACUCGGUUAGGAGAUUGAGGAGAGUGGACGUAGGUAAGAAAACGCCGAACCACUAUAAAACCGAGUUUGAAUUCUCUAACUUUAUCUCUUUCCUUUAUUUAUUUUGUGCAUAUAUUAUUAUGUGGAAAAAGAUUUUGAAAAACCCAAUUCACCCCCCCUUUUGGGUAUUUUCUUUAAUUAUUCAUAGCCUUUGUUUUAUCAGUUAUUUUUUAAUAUUAUUCAUAGGUAGGUAUAUUUGAGAUAUUUUGCUCUUGUUAUUAAUAAAAAAUUGUUCUAAGUUUUUGUGUUGAGAAGUGUUGGAACAUAUGCAUAUGAAUUGCAUUUUAUUCUUGUUGGGGAGUGUUGUUGCAUUCAUAUUUGUAUGUGAUUUCUAAUUUGUGUUUUUAAGUGUUUGUAAAGACAAGGAACAAUUGUAAAAAUUGUUAAGGUUAGUUACUUGUAUUGAGAGGCUUUUAAAUUGGACAAAAACACCUAUUCCACCUCCCCUUUAGGUGUAUUCUAUAAUUGACAUUUACUUGUUAUAGUAAAAUUAUUACAUUUUAAUUAUUAUUUGAGUAAAAAAAGAAAUAGCUUCUAAAUUCCUUACAAGACUUUUAAAAAUAUUUUUAAAAUUGCCUACAAGUUCGAAUACUCUAAAUAAUUAUAGAAUUAACAAAAACAUUGAUGGAUAGAAAUUUUAUGAAUUCAAAUUUAAUGAGAAAAAUUAUUACUUUUCAAGUUAAAAAUAAAUGAAUAUAAAUUAAUAAUAAAAUAAAAGAUUAUCAUAUGAUACUAAAAAAUUGUUUUUAGGUGUCAUUCAUAUUAUAACAUAUUACAAAUCAACAAAAUAAUCUUAUUUCUUUGUAUAUUGUUACACAUAUCAGCCAAUAAAGAAUAAAAUAAUCUAAUUUCUUUUCUCUCUUGUUAUACAUAUCAAUCACUCGUAUUUGAAUUUUGUUAUGCUACUCAUGCAUUUUGAACCUUAGAAUUUUCUUUAAAUAAAACAAAAACAAAAAAUAUGAACAAAAGAGAUAUUUUCAUUUAAUCUUGUAACAUUGCCCCAUUGAUGACAUGUAACAAUCAACUGGCGCAUAACAGUCAUUUACUUAUGGCGGCUUACUGCCUGGCCAAGUUUUGGUCAAGUGGGACCACUUUGACCAGCUUUAUUUGGAUUGCCUACCUAAUUAUCUUAAUGUUUGGGUACCCACAUAACCUAUAAUUGAAAUUUCAUGAAAUUAUUUAUUAGAAGAACACAUUAACAUAUCCCAUUAAAGCUUCAUGAAAUAUAUUUCCAACGUAAUUACUUGAAUCACAUUUAUAGAUCACAGAAAACAUUUGUCACACGAGAAGUUCUUUAGAAUGGUGAUUAAUUUUUACUUCUAAAAUAGUCUAAGAACUAGAGAUGGAGGUAUCAUUGGACUGUUAUGACUGGCAAGCUUUGAUGUCCUACUUCGACUUUUCACAUUGAUGUGCCCUAUUCGAGUCUCUCUCUUGGUGCUACACCUGCCAUGGUAUUGUGUCCAUGGCUCACCAAGUCAUCUCCUUGCGCAAGGUAUUGAGCCCUUGUGCCACCUUGCUAUAGUCCUAGAUCACUCAUGAGGCCUUAGUGUCGGAUGGUCCUUGUCAAGGGCUAACAUAGUCAAAUCCUUCUGAAGUUACAAGAAAUGCCUGUGGCAUAUAUGUGAAUAGAACAUAUCAAAUAUCAUAUCAAUAUAAUUUUUUUCUAUACAAUUAUAUUUAGAGUCUGGUUAACCUAAAAGUUUUUUUUUAAAAAAAAUUAGUGUUAAACAAAAUUUAGGAAACACUUCUAAAAAUUUGAAAAAUUACUUAGUAAUGUUUUCUAAAGAAACACUUGAUAGGUAAUUUUCAUUAAAAAAAACACUUUCAGAGAAAAUACUUCACUAAAAAUACUUUAAGUAAAAAUACUGUUAAACACACUCUUACAGUCUUAUUAUGUUUUAUUAAAACAAUAUGGUAGUGCCCAUAUGAAGAAGAUGAAGCUAAUUAAAAAUAGAUGCUCAAAAUGAAUUUUAAACAUUUUACAAUUCAUCGAAAUUUCAGAAAUACAUGGACUUACAGAAAGGCUCUUCAUGAGAAGAUAUUCCACAUUCUCUACGGAAAGUUUGGUGCCCUCUGCAAUGAUAUUCAAUGGAAUGGUACCAUCUUCUGAAGGACGGCUGCAAGAUAAAAUAUCUCAGUUGAAUUUAGCAAUAACUUUCUGAAUCUUGCCCAGCAAUCACACGUAAAAUGAUAUUGUUAACAUACAUGAAGAUGAUAUCCAUCAAGCUGAGAAUGAUUUCUAGUAGAUUCUUCUAAUUCUGAACCAAUGUCGGUUGAGAACUCAGUAGCAUUAUGGACACGACAUAAUUCUUGAUAGCAGAGUAAAUCAUCAUAGUUGGAUGCCUGGAGUAUCUAGUAGAGCCGCUCAACCUUUUUCCCCUAGAGACUUUCUAUCUGUAGGAGUUGGUAAAACAUUUGGCUCCAAUGAAGACAUUGUGCAGUUCUCUUUUGGUAAAUCAUCAGGCGCAAUAGCUCGCUGGGCCUAGGGAUGAUUGCUGCAGAAUUCUUAACGGAUUAGAAUUGGAGCAUCCAGUCAACACCAAAGGAUUAAAUAUGAUAAAGCUCAAAAUUACACCAUUACUCAAAGCCUGUAAAAUACACUUGACCCAACAGCUGCAGGAAAUACUGAGAGGGUUGUUUCUGGAAUAAGGUUGAGCUGAAGGUGUUUUAUGACUCUAUUGGACCAUCAUCUCCAAGGAGGCCAAAUAUGUGGAGGUUCCGUUCCAUUGAUCCCAUAGCCAAGUAUUUUGCACCUAUCUAGACCAAAUUUUACUCAAGUUGCUUUGCCUGCAUGCAGGACUAGAAGAAGUCAUAUUGAAGAUUGUAAUGGAAGAAUGAUAAGACAGCAAGAUAAAUGUGACACAAGUUUGCAAGAAAAUGAGACAAAACCUGUGCCAGACAAAAUAGUGAAAGUUUUGAUUCAGUUCCACUCCGAUUUUACAUUGGCAACUUGGUAAAAACUCUGCAAAACCAGAAGCCUUAAUACCAAUUUCCAGUUAAGCAUAAGAAGUUCUAAGGUUUCAUUAAAAACCCACCUAUUGUAAUCUUUCAAAAUACAUGAAAGGAAAUGAACUUGCAUAUAACAGGAUAGUUUAACAACUUCAAAAACUAGGUUUUAGAGAACUGCCAUCUGAAAAUAUUUUAAAGAUAGGCAUAUGUAAAUUAAUCAUAACGGCUAGUAUCAGAAAAAAGAAAAACCAAUUUAACAAAAAAAAAAAAGGCUAGCUAAAUAAAUUUAUAUUGCUUGCCAUUGCAAAGGUCUAUCAUGGAGGAAAUUACAAGCUGCCACAUGAACCACAAAAGAAAAGUACCUUGCAAAUUUUAGAAUUUACUUGAGACACAAUUUGACACUGAAUAUUCAUUUUCUAGAGAAGUUCCCACCAAUUUUGAGGCUAUCUUCCACACAACUUCUGAAUUUCUUUUGGUCAGAAACCAAUUGUUUGGGCUAUAGGACUGACAUGUUUUCAGUAGAAUGUGAAGAAUAUGCACAACUAUAUUACAUGAAGGUGGAUUGAACUUACUUUCCACCAACAUAAGGAAUGCCCUUCCUUGAAUUGGCAGGAAUCUCACCUUGAAACCCAGGCAUAAUUUGUCAUUUCCUGCACAAUUUUGGGAUCAUCAGUGUAGCUCUUGUAGCAUCAACCCCACGUUGGAUCUCUGCAUACAUAUUAUAUAUAGAGGGGUCCAAGAUUAGAAUAGUUUGAGAGCCAUAUGUCAUUUCAUUAAUACCAAAAUUUUAUUCAAAUGAUUUUCAAUAGUACACCACAAUACAGGAUGCCAAGGCAUAUGUACAACAAGUAGCUCUAACUUCAAGGGCAAUUGUAGGAUGACAUAAUCAGCCAAGUAAUGAUCAAACAUCCUCUGCAAUAAAAUACUUAACCUAAGUUAGAGUAUUUUGAGAAUAGGAAGAGUGAUACACCAAAUUCCCUUUCAAUGAAAUAGAAUAUGAAGAUCAAGAAAAGUAAUUACCAUUACUGUCAGUAUAUUUCAGAGUAUUUAGAUUCCCAUGCUCAAGAAAAUUUAGAACAGUGGGGAAACCAAAUUUUCUUAUGAUUUAGUACUACGUGUGCUCCUCACCAAAGUGUUAGUAUUCUACCGUAUAUGAGAACAAACUAAAAAAGCUCAGAAUUGUGGAGAAAAAAAUUAUAUAAAGGGCAGCAAUAAAUUAAUAAUCCAAAAACUAAAAGCACAGAGAGAGAGAGAGAGAGGAAUUAUAGACCUCAAUAAUGAAGAGAUUAUAGACAACAGACAAAAAUGAAAGAAAACAUAUAGGUUUAGGAGAACGAUGAAAUUAAAAAAAAAAAAAUUAAUUAAAGUGAGCUCUCUUUCCAUAUGCAUCAACCAUUAAUAAGCCAUACACAUUUAUCUCUCGAAUAUUGAACCAAUGAGUAAGUUCUCAACAUUAUCUAAACUUUGGACAGAAAACACGGCAACUUAUGAUUUAUUGGAAAAUGAUUAGUCAUUAAUGAUAACAAGCAUGAAAUAAAUUUCAAAACUAACCUAAUUAUUCAACAAACAUGCACAGUGAACUUAAAUAACAUUAUUAAUCUUUCCAAAAGUAAUUGGUUGGCUUAAUUAUAAGUACAUUCAUCCAAAAAUAUUAAAUUAACUCACAAUUCAAAACCAUGGAGAAGGUUUGCCUAACAUGGAAUCUAUUUAAGAUUUCAUAUCUUCAGUAAACUACUUUUGCAUCAGAAAAACAAAAAUAGAGGGCAACAAUUUUGGAAGACCAACAGUAUAAUGAUAAAAAAAUGGUCAAAAAAAAUGGAGGGAUUGCACUCCUGAAAAAUAUUAUAGAUGACAUGCUUGAAUGAAAGAGCAUAGUAGUCCUCUUGACAUCUUUCAAUAAGUAUAACAUUCUGAUUUUCAUGUAUACAUUAUCAAGUAUGGAUAUAAUGUCACUUACUCUGGCAAUGGUACUCCCUUUCAAAGUACUUUUUCAAACUAUUGAGUCUGGCUACUUCAGAUAUGAGAAGAAUAGUGCUACCUUCAAUGGUCAAUGCAAACCAUUUAGGUUCCCAAGCUUGAGAAGCUUCAAAGAUGGGAAUUAACCAAACUCAUGUUUUACUGAUUCAGCAGUAUAUGCUGCUCACUCAACUCUCAGCUAUAGACUACACAUGGGAAUAAAAAAAUCAACAUUGCAAGCAAAGUAGAACACUUUUUUAACAAACUGAUUGAGAAGUAAUAAACAAUAAAGGGAUCAAAAGCAUAAACCUGAAUAGAAAGAAUGAUUGUGACCAGUAACAAAAACUGAGGGCUAAGGUUGGUGAUGCAAUUGAGAUAACCCUUUUCAUAUUCAUCAGCCAUCCAUAACUGGCCAACAUUUGUCUCUGGAACAUUGAAGGGCUCAAACAGCAUAACUGUGUUGUCACGGUGGCUCAAGCACUCACAAAUAGCAUGGAAAACAAU